rnacentral:rRNA from 1 species
UACUGAGGAUGCAAGCGUUAUCCGGAAUGAUUGGGCGUAAAGCGUCCGCAGGUGGCUGUGUAAGUCUGCUGUCAAAGAGCGAAGCUCAACUUCGUAAAGGCAGUGGAAACGACACGGCUAGAGUGCGUUCGGGGCAGAGGGAAUUCCUGGUGUAGCGGUGAAAUGCGUAGAGAUCAGGAAGAACACCGGUGGCGAAGGCGCUCUGCUAGGCCGCAACUGACACUGAGGGACGAAAGCUAGGGGAGCGAAUGGG